rnacentral:rRNA from 1 species
UACGGAGGGAGCUAGCGUUGUUCGGAAAUACUGGGCGUAAAGCGCACGUAGGCGGCGCAGCAAGUCAGGGGUGAAAUCCCGGGGCUCAACCCCCGGAACUGCCUCUGAAACUGCAGUGCUAGAAUCUUGGAGAGGCGAGUGGAAUUCCGAGUGUAGAGGUGAAAUUCGUAGAUAUUCGGAAGAACACCAGUGGCGAAGGCGGCUUCCUGGACUAAUACUGACGCUGAGGUGCGAAAGCGUGGGGAGCAAACAGG